CAUAAUAAGAGUUUGAAUCAUACGAACUCGUAUAGAUUGUAAUUACUCCACCUAGAUCCAGGAUUCCUACAUACCCAAAAGGAAGAAACCCAAAAAGAUAAUCUAAGCAGAUUGUCCCUCAUUGAAUCAAUAAGAUUAUUGUCAAAAUAACCACCAAAACUGGACAGAGUUCAGGUCCAGCUCGUCUUCAAGCGAGGAUUCAAAUCUUGAUCACAGAAAUACCAACCAAAGCAGAAAAUAAAUCCUCUGCUGAAAAAGGGGGAGAGAUAGAUAGAAACGAACUGUAAUUUACAAGACAUAGAUGGAGGAGAAAGCGCGGGGUUGGUGUACCGCUACUUCUUGACAAAAGGGGCAGGACCCAACUCCACAAACUACAAUGUCGUCAAAAGCAGAAACGCAGAGAGCGAUCACAGAGCAUUUGCAAUGCUAUCGCAACGGCGGAUGAAAGACAAAGCAUUUAGGGGUUUAAAAUAUUAUUUCUUUUAAAGUAUUUGAUCAUUUCCAAACAAUAGAGUGGGAAAUUCAAUAGCAUUUCACUAUUUCUUCCCAACAUAGCCUUAAUUUGUUUUUAUCAAUAUUAUUAGUUCACUAGUCAACUAAUUCAAUCCAGAAUACAAAAAACAAUUCAACAAUGUUCAUCAGAUCUUAAAAUACACCAUAUACAGCGCCAAGAAAAUGCACCGAUGAUUGAGACAAGAAAAAAAAAAGAAGAAAAAAGAAACUCAGAUGAACACGAAAUAGACUUGGGAAAAGAAAGAAGACGAAGGCAUAAAGUAGACAAAAAUAAACAAAGAGAAAAAGCUUAUCUCUUACUUUGGAUAAGAGAAGUAGGCGUUGGGAGUGUGUUGCCUUUGAUUCAGUGAAUUGUUCGAACACUUUUCGUUUUGAAUUUCAGGAAUUUAAAGGUGGAGUUAAUUGCAGAGGGUCUGUUAAUAUUUAGGGUUGACACUGAAUCAGUGAUCGGAUCCAUUAAUGGGCUCAUUGCAUAUAAUUACUAGUAUUAAUCAUUUUUUGUUAUAUUAAAAA
rnacentral:lncRNA from 1 species